GUCCCCUGGCCACAGGCAAAGAGACACUUUGUUGGUAGUGGUGUUGUUCUUAUAUCAGUCAGGGGCAGGGCAGAUGACAGCCCUUUGUUCAUCCUAGCUUGAUGCCUGGCUUGGUGACCAAAGUUGCUUAUGCCUAGGACUCAUAA